GACGAACGCUGGCGGCGUGCCUAAUACAUGCAAGUAGAACGCACAGUUUAUACCGUAGCUUGCUACACCAUAGACUGUGAGUUGCGAACGGGUGAGUAACGCGUAGGUAACCUGCCUGGUAGCGGGGGAUAACUAUUGGAAACGAUAGCUAAUACCGCAUAAUAUUGAUUAUUGCAUGAUAAUUGAUUGAAAGAUGCUAUUGCAUCACUACCAGAUGGACCUGCGUUGUAUUAGCUAGUAGGUGAGGUAACGGCUCACCUAGGCGACGAUACAUAGCCGACCUGAGAGGGUGAUCGGCCACACUGGGACUGAGACACGGCCCAGACUCCUACGGGAGGCAGCAGUAGGGAAUCUUCGGCAAUGGACGAAAGUCUGACCGAGCAACGCCGCGUGAGUGAAGAAGGGUUUCGGAUCGUAAAGCUCUGUUGUAAGAGAAGAACGGGUGUGAGAGUGGAAAGUUCACACUGUGACGGUAUCUUACCAGAAAGGGACGGCUAACUACGUG
rnacentral:rRNA from 1 species